rnacentral:rRNA from 1 species
UACGUAGGGUGCGAGCGUUGUCCGGAAUUAUUGGGCGUAAAGAGCUCGUAGGCGGUUUGUCGCGUCGAAUGUGAAAACCCGGGGCUCAACCCCGGGCCUGCAUUCGAUACGGGCAGACUAGAGUUCGGUAGGGGAGUCUGGAAUUCCUGGUGUAGCGGUGAAAUGCGCAGAUAUCAGGAGGAACACCGGUGGCGAAGGCGGGACUCUGGGCCGAUACUGACGCUGGAGGAGCGAAAGGCGUGGGGAGCAAACA